rnacentral:rRNA from 1 species
CCCUUAGACGUUCUGGGCCGCACGCGCGCUACACUGACGAAGGCAACGAGCUUUCCUUUACCGAAAGGUACGGGUAAUCUUUUGAAACUUCGUCGUGCUGGGGAUAGAUCCUUGCAAUUUUUGAUCUUAAACGAGGAAUGCCUAGUAAGCGCAAGUCAUCAACUUGCGUUGAUUACGUCCCUGCCCUUUGUACACACCGCCCGUCGCUACUACCGAUUGAAUGGUUUAGUGAGGACUUCGGAUCCGCGACUCGUUUGUGGAGAAGUUGGACAAACUCAGUCAUUUAGAGGAAGUAAAAGUCGUAACA